GACGAACGCUGGCGGCGGGCUUAACACAUGCAAGUCGAACGGAAAGGCCCUGCUUUUGUGGUGUUCUCGAUUGGCGAACGGGUGAGGAACAAGUGAGUAACCGGCCCUUGACUUUGGUAUAACUUCAGGAAACUGGGGCUAAGACCGUAUAGGAGCUCCUGCUGCAUUGUGGGGGUUGGAAAUUUUCGGCUGUUGGGGAUGGACGCGCGGCUGAUCAUCUUGUUGGUUGGGUAGUGGCUUGCCAAGGCUUUGAAGGGUAGCCGGCACGAGAGGGUGACCGGACACCAUGGGCCUGAGAUACGGACCAGACUCCUACGGGGGGCAGCAGUGGGGAAUAUUGCACAAUGGGCGGAAGCCUGAUGAAGAAACGCCGGGUGCGGGAUGACGGCCUUCGGGUUGUAAACCGCUUUAGCCUGUGACGCAGCGUGAGUGACGGUAAUGGGUAAAGAAGCACCGGCUAACUACGUG
rnacentral:rRNA from 1 species